UACGAAGGGGGCUAGCGUUGCUCGGAAUCACUGGGCGUAAAGGGUGCGUAGGCGGGUCUUUAAGUCAGGGGUGAAAUCCUGGAGCUCAACUCCAGAACUGCCUUUGAUACUGAGAAUCUUGAGUAUGGGAGAGGUGAGUGGAACUGCGAGUGUAGAGGUGAAAUUCGUAGAUAUUCGCAAGAACACCAGUGGCGAAGGCGGCUCACUGGCCCAUAACUGACGCUGAGGCACGAAAGCGGUGGGGAGCAAACAGG
rnacentral:rRNA from 1 species